rnacentral:rRNA from 1 species
GAUGAACGCUGGCGGCGUGCCUAAUACAUGCAAGUAGAACGCUGAAGGAGGAGCUUGCUCUUCUGGAUGAGUUGCGAACGGGUGAGUAACGCGUAGGUAACCUGCCUGGUAGCGGGGGAUAACUAUUGGAAACGAUAGCUAAAACCGCAUGACAACAGUUAUUGCAUGAUAACUGUUUAAAAGGGGCAACUGCUCCACUACCAGAUGGACCUGCGUUGUAUUAGCUAGUUGGUGAGGUAACGGCUCACCAAGGCGACGAUACAUAGCCGACCUGAGAGGGUGAUCGGCCACACUGGGACUGAGACACGGCCCAGACUCCUACGGGAGGCAGCAGUAGGGAAUCUUCGGCAAUGGACGGAAGUCUGACCGAGCAACGCCGCGUGAGUGAAGAAGGUUUUCGGAUCGUAAAGCUCUGUUGUAAGAGAAGAACGAGUGUGAGAGUGGAAAGUUCACACUGUGACGGUAUCUGACCAGAAAGGGACGGCUAACUACGUG